UCCAUAUCUUUAUUAUCUAUGCUGCGUAUAGACAGACCCUGAUAACUAUAUUAAAAACCAUAGAUUUAAUAAAUAACAACAAAACAGUAACAGUAUAUUAUAGACCGUACAAUGGUAUGUACACAAAAUCGUUUUUUUGUUUGUUCCAAGUUUCAAGCAAAGUAUAUAAUUAUUAAACACAACAUUGUUUUACAAAUAUGCAAUAUUCAAAAUGCGAUAGUGAUGCGGCGCAGCCUGCAAUAGUAGCAAGUAUGGUACAAUGGUACAAUCACUAUUUCAGCAUUCUACCUCAUCUGGUGGCUUAUCAACACGCAUCAGUCAUCACCAACCAUCACAAACGAGCACGGGAAGCAAGCAGCAGGACUGAGGCGGGACUUGCCCGCAUAAGGCCAAAGCAUAGUCACCAAUAUUAAUAUUAAUAUUUCGUCAAAUGGCAUGAAAAUAUAUUAUAGUUUCUUAGCAUUAGUUAGCGUUGUAUGGUCAUGUUUAUUAGUGUCACAUUGGACGUGGAAAGUGGAAACUCGUACUCAUAAUCUUUAAUAUUUGUAUAACCGUCAUAACUCUAACUCAUAAUGACAAGCUGUGUCUGAUCGUUUUUCUAGUAAGUAAACACAUUUUGUGUUACUCUAAAUUUUUAUCACCUAUGUUCUGCAACUUAACUUGCUACUUGUCGGCAAACAAAUUUGUGGGUGAGUGAGCGUGUAGUGAGUAUUUUAAUUACACAUGAUAAUUGAAGUAUUAAACUUGCUAGUCACUUGGUGGCACUUGUCGCUUUAGCGAUUUUUCUAUCCAGCAAAGUGAUAAAAGUAGGCUGGUUGUUGAGUUUAUUCCUGCGAGCAGCGUAAGCUACUUGGUCUAUUGCAUUGAAUGAGGUGGGCAAUAAAAUAGCAGCAAUUCAAUUUUACUACAAGUAAAAGAAAACAAUUCUGUGACUUACAUUAAAUAUCUCUUUAAUUUUUUUGUUUGCACAAAAUAUUAUACUAAAUGAUUUCAUAAAAAAAAAAAAAUUGAAAAAUAUAUCAUACAAAAACAUUGAUAAAUCAACUGAAUAGGUAUAAUCUUAAUUAUGAUGAUAUUGAUUAUUAAUUUAUGUACUUAUCAAUGGUAAGUAUUUUAUUACUACCUUCGUGGAGAUCACUACUAGAUUGUUAAUUCCUAUUUUUUUAAUGUUGUCCCUUUCACUAUUAGUUGACUAUCUUUUAAUAGCUUCAACACGUUAGACCAUUUUAUCCCAAAACGUGAUUUGUUAGGACACUAUUUUUUUUCUGAUUUAACAUGUUUGGGUACUAUUGUCUACACUCUAUACUAAUUAAAUAUUAUGUUUAUUAUGUAUUUUUUUUAUGUAUGUAAACUGCAAAAUAUAUUGUACCUUUUUUUGUGAGUUAUAUAUAAGGUUAUAGUCUUAUGAGUUAGAAAUUGUAUGCUAUGGACAAUAUUAUAGAGUAUUCAGUAUAAGAAUAGCCAAGCACAUAGCUUUAGGAUGGCCUGGGGGCAUAUUUACUGACUAUCCCAUUAUAUUGUUGAAAUACCUAAGGCUCAAAUAAUUGAGUUAAAGUAUAAAAAAAUUUAACCAUAUUUUAAAUUUUUUACUUUAAUAAUUGUUAUUAUUACAUAAUUAUCUUAACACCAUGUUCUAUGGAAACACAACAAAUAUGAACAAAACAUCUUGUAACUUAUCGCACCAGAUGAAAUUUAAUGUUUGGUGCAUAGUCAGAAUAGAAAUUAUUUUUGUAGGUAUUUUUUGUGUAUGCAUCAAACUACUGUUUCAUAAAUCUGGGUUCUUAUUUUCACAUUUCCGAAUUACAUUCACUCCUUGGUAUAUAUGGCACAAAUUAUAAUAUUUACUUUUGUCGUAACUACUGGUACUAGGUACCUUUUUAUAAUAUUUAAAUAUUAAUACAAUAAUAUACUAAAAUUAUAUAAUAUUUGUUUUCUUAUUAUUCAGUUAUUUUUAGGGGAGGGAACAAUGCUGAGCAAGCUUUGUAAACAUUAUUGCUUAUUAUUAUAUGCUUAUUGAAUUAAGACCAAAAAAUAUUUUAAAUAUAAUUUAUUGUUUCAGUUAGCCGAAAGGUUCCAUCACACACUACGGAAAAUGGCAAAGCUUAAAUAAAAAACUGACGUG